UUGUGUCUUCGAGUCGUUGAUUUCACACUGCCGAGAAAAGCCUCUAGAUAGAAAAUAGGUGCCCGUACCGCAAACCGACACAGGUAGUCAAGAUGAGAAUUCUAAGGUGAGCGAGCGAACUCUCGUUAAGGAACUCGGCAAAAUGACCCCGUAACUUCGGGAGAAGGGGUGCUCUUUAGGGUUAACGCCCAGAAGAGCCGCAGUGAAUAGGCCCAAGCGACUGUUUAUCAAAAACACAGGUCUCUGCUAAACCGUAAGGUGAUGUAUAGGGGCUGACGCCUGCCCG
rnacentral:rRNA from 1 species